UACGUAGGGUGCGAGCGUUAAUCGGAAUUACUGGGCGUAAAGCGUGCGCAGGCGGCGCGUUAAGACAGGUGUGAAAAGCCCCGAGCUUAACUUGGGAAUUGCGCUUGUGACUGGCGAGCUGGAGUGUGGCAGAGGGAGGUGGAAUUCCACGUGUAGCAGUGAAAAUGCGUAGAGAUGUGGAGGAACACCGAUGGCGAAGGCAGCCUCCUGGGCCAGCACUGACGCUCAUGCACGAAAAGCGUGGGGAGCAAACAGG
rnacentral:rRNA from 1 species